AGUAAGAUGGCUGAGAAUAUUAGGUGAUAAAUUGUAAAUUUAUUUAGAGGUUUAUACCUUCUUACUA
rnacentral:tRNA from 1 species